rnacentral:rRNA from 1 species
AGUCUUUUAAUUGAUGACUUGUAUGAAAGAUUGGAUGAGAUAUAGACUGUCUCUUUAUUAAAAAUAGAAUUUAAUUUUUUAAUUAAAAAGUUAAAAUAAAUUUAAAAGACGAGAAGACCCUAUAGAGUUUUAUAAUUUAUGUUAAGAAGAUUUUAUAUAAGUAUAAUUAAUUUUUAUAAUAUAAUUUAAUUGAUUGGGGUGAUUAAAAAAUUAAUUGAACUUUUUUUUUUAAAAACAUAGAUAAAUGAAUAUAUUGAUCCAUUAUUAAUGAUUAAAAGAAAAAAUUACCUUAGGGAUAACAGCGUAAUUUUUUUUUUUAGUUCAAAUAAAAAAAAGAGUUUGCGACCUCGAUUUUGGAUUAANAUAAAAUUUAAAUGC